UACGGAAGGUCCGGGCGUUAUCCGGAUUUAUUGGGUUUAAAGGGAGCGCAGGCCGUGGGCUAAGCGUGCCGUGAAAUUCUGUCGCUCAACGGCAGACGUGCGGCGCGAACUGGUCCACUUGAGUACGCGGGACGUUGGCGGAAUUCGUGGUGUAGCGGUGAAAUGCUUAGAUAUCACGAAGAACUCCGAUUGCGAAGGCAGCUGACGGUAGCGCAACUGACGCUGAGGCUCGAAAGCGCGGGUAUCGAACAGG
rnacentral:rRNA from 1 species